rnacentral:tRNA from 1 species
GCCUGGAUGGCUCAGUCGGUUGAGCGUCCGACUUCGGCUCAGGUCAUGAUCUCGCAGUUUGUGAGUUCGAGCCCCACAUCGGGCU